UACGAAGGGGGCUAGCGUUGCUCGGAAUCACUGGGCGUAAAGGGUGCGUAGGCGGAUUGUUAAGUCAGGGGUGAAAUCCUGGAGCUCAACUCCAGAACUGCCUUUGAUACUGGCGAUCUUGAGUCCGGGAGAGGUGAGUGGAACUGCGAGUGUAGAGGUGAAAUUCGUAGAUAUUCGCAAGAACACCAGUGGCGAAGGCGGACUCACUGGCCCGGUACUGACGCUGAGGUGCGAAAGCGUGGGGAG
rnacentral:rRNA from 1 species